AGAGUUUGAUCCUGGCUCAGGAUGAACGCUAGCGGGAGGCUUAACACAUGGGGGUAACAUUGGAGCUUGCUUCAGAUGACGACCGGCGAACGGGUGAGUAACGCGUAUGCAACCUACCUCAAACAGGGGAAUAGCUCAGGGAAACCUGGAUUAAUGCCCCGUAAUAUUUAAAACUGGCAUCAGUUUAAAAUUAAAGCUCCGGUGGUUUGAGAUGGGCAUGCGUGACAUUAGCUAGUUGGUAAGGUAAAGGCUUACCAAGGCUACGAUGUCUAGGGGUUCUGAGAGGAUGAUCCCCCACACUGGUACUGAGACACGGACCAGACUCCUACGGGAGGCAGCAGUGAGGAAUAUUGGUCAAUGGGCGCAAGCCUGAACCAGCCAUCCCGCGUGUAGGAAGACUGCCCUAUGGGUUGUAAACUACUUUUAUAAAGGAAGAAACCCUUCUACGUGUAGCUUUUUGACGGUAGUACAUGAAUAAGCAUCGGCUAACUCCGUGCCAGCAGCCGCGGUAAUACGGAGGAUGCGAGCGUUAUCCGGAUUCAUUGGGUUUAAAGGGUGUGUAGGCGGCUUAUUAAGUCAGUGGUGAAAUCCUGCGGCUCAACCGUAGAACUGCCAUUGAUACUGAUAAGCUUGAAUAUAGUUGAGGUAGGCGGAAUGAGUAGUGUAGCGGUGAAAUGCUUAGAUAUUACUCAGAACACCGAUUGCGAAGGCAGCUUACUAAACUAUUAUUGACGCUGAUGCACGAAAGCGUGGGUAGCGAACAGGAUUAGAUACCCUGGUAGUCCACGCCGUAAACGAUGUUCACUCGCUGUAUGCAAUACACCGUAUGCGGCCAAGCGAAAGUAUUAAGUGAACCACCGUUGGAGUACGUCGGCAACGGUGAAACUCAAAGGAAUUGACGGGGGCCCGCACAAGCGGAGGAACAUGUGGUUUAAUUCGAUGAUACGCGAGGAACCUUACCUGGGCUUAAAUGUAGAUUGCAUGACGUGGAAACACACUUUCCCUUCGGGGCUAUUUACAAGGUGCUGCAUGGUUGUCGUCAGCUCGUGCCGUGAGGUGUCGGGUUAAGUCCCAUAACGAGCGCAACCCCUAUCAUUAGUUGCCAUCAGGUUAAGCUGGGGACUCUAGUGAGACUGCCACCGUAAGGUGAGAGGAAGGUGGGGAUGACGUCAAAUCAGCACGGCCCUUAUGUCCAGGGCUACACACGUGUUACAAUGGCCGGUACAGAGGGCAGCUACACCGCGAGGUGAUGCUAAUCUCUAAAGCCGGUCUCAGUUCGGAUCGAAGUCUGCAACUCGACUUCGUGAAGUUGGAUUCGCUAGUAAUCGGAUAUCAGCCAUGAUCCGGUGAAUACGUUCCCGGGCCUUGUACACACCGCCCGUCAAACCAUGGAAGCUGGGGGGACCUGAAGUCUGUCACCGAAAGGAGCGGCCUAGGGUAAAACCGGUAACUGGGGUUAAGUCGUAACAAGGUAAAGGG
rnacentral:rRNA from 1 species